rnacentral:rRNA from 1 species
CCUACGGGAGGCAGCAGUGAGGAAUAUUGGUCAAUGGACGAGAGUCUGAACCAGCCAAGUAGCGUAAAGGAUGACUGCCCUAUGGGUUGUAAACUUCUUUUAUAAAGGAAUAAAACGAGGCACGUGUGCCUUUUUGCAUGUACUUUAUGAAUAAGGAUCGGCUAACUCCGUGCCAGCAGCCGCGGUAAUACGGAGGAUCCGAGCGUUAUCCGGAUUUAUUGGGUUUAAAGGGAGCGUAGAUGGGUUGUUAAGUCAGUUGUGAAAGUUUGCGGCUCAACCGUAAAAUUGCAAUUGAUACUGGCAGUCUUGAGUACAGUUGAGGUAAGCGGAAUUCGUGGUGUAGCGGUGAAAUGCUUAGAUAUCACGAAGAACCCCGAUUGCGAAGGCAGCUUACUAAACUGUGACUGACAUUGAUGCUCGAAAGCGUGGGUAGCAAACAGGAUUAGAUACCCCAGUAGUC